rnacentral:rRNA from 1 species
UGGGGGAUAUUGCACAAUGGGCGAAAGCCUGAUGCAGCGACGCCGCGUGGGGGAUGAAGGCUUUCGGGUUGUAAACCUCUUUCGCUAUCGAACAAGGCCCGCUUAGGGUGGGUUGAGGGGAGGUGGAGAAGAAGCGCCGGCUAACUACGUGCCAGCAGCCGCGGUAAUACGUAGGGCGCGAGCGUUGUCCGGAAUUAUUGGGCGUAAAGGGUUUGUAGGCGGCUUGUUGCGCCUGCUGUGAAAACGCGGGGCUUAACUUCGCGCGUGCAGUGGGUACGGGCAGGCUUGAGUGUGGUAGGGGUGACUGGAAUUCCAGGUGUAGCGGUGGAAUGCGCAGAUAUCUGGAGGAACACCGAUGGCGAAGGCAGGUCACUGGGCCAUUACUGACGCUGAGGAGCGAAAGCAUGGGUAGCGAACAGG